rnacentral:piRNA from 1 species
UCUAGCAAUAGAUUCUCUGGUUGGUAGCA